GUACGCUAUUUCUUAACACAGUGCCUUGUGUAACUACUACCAAUUAAUUGAAGUAAUCGUGAAGAGUUCCUUUCCAUUAGAGGGAGUUUCUUCAGGGAUUAAUCAAUCAUUUCCCAGGAGAUGGGAAGAAAAAAAAAAGGCAGGAUUGAAAAUGCUUCCAAAUUGCAAAACAUUUCCCAUAUUCUGCUGCUUGCUUUAAUUUUUUUUUUUUGAUGUAAGCCUUUAGCAGCCCCUAGACAAACAAUGGGUCACAUUGCACAAACACAGCCACAGUGAGAGCUUCCGGGUCAGACCGCUAAGUCGGGCACUGGAGAAUUCCACCAGCGGCACAGACCUCGGGCAGGAGGAAGGGGUUCCACAAGAGGGAGGCAUCGUUUACUCAAGCUAAUUGCAGGCUGAAAGACAAAAGCUGUAACCUCAGACACACCCACAACUGAUACAUCGUCUCUGCAAAUUGAGAAACUGGUAAUUCAACUAUCAUGGAGCCUCACCUUGUGUUCCACCCAUUACCUGGUGUGAAAUGGCCCAAGGCUGGGUCCCUGACACCUCUUUUUAUCCUGCCUCAUUCACUUCUCAUUUGCGGCAAGCACUGAUGGCAAAGCUACCAGGUGACAGCUACCUGGCCCCAGCCGUUCUGUGCAUGCUGCUCUGAGCCCAGACCAGCCCCUGUGGUGUUGUCACAGUGCUUCCACAGCAUAACUAGACUGACGACGACGGAAACACAAACACUCCCAACGCGCUGCAGCAGUUCGGAGGGCAUGGUUGCCCUUGACAAGAAUGGUGUUCCUGCUUCAGGGGUAUAAAACCAAGUGCAGGGGAUUAAAACAUGCACGGAGAUGAGGAAGCAGGGAUUUCAUUUGUCUGCGAAGGGAAGGCGAGAGAGAAGGCAGGAGCAGCGUGAAGAUGUGUCUCCUCAUUUCGUCACUAGAAGCAUUUUUACAUUUGGUUAGCUAGAUGGCACUUUAUUUUAAAGCUUUGCAAUCAAAGUCGUCGAUUGCAUGAUUAAGCAUGAAAUGCCAGUAAAACUGACUUUCAUCUUGUGAUUUUUUUUAAAUCCCAGGUUACUCCUUAGCCAUCAAUAAGAGCAAAUCUGUAAACAACACCAACAAAAUGUAAAUGUAGGAAGCGACCUCGCAUGAGGACGGCCACUGUAAGUGUUAAGUGAACCGUCACA
rnacentral:lncRNA from 1 species